AAGUCUGAACCAUCCAUGCCGCGUGCAGGAUGACGGUCCUAUGGAUUGUAAACUGCUUUUGUACGAGAAGAAAAACUCCUAUGUAUAGGAGCUUGACGGUAUCGUAAGAAUAAGGAUCGGCUAACUCCGUGCCAGCAGCCGCGGUAAUACGGAGGAUCCAGGCGUUAUCCGGAAUCAUUGGGUUUAAAGGGUCCGUAGGCGGUUUAGUAAGUCAGUGGUGAAAGCCCAUCGCUCAACGGUGGAACGGCCAUUGAUACUGCUGAACUUGAAUUACUGGGAAGUAACUAGAAUAUGUAGUGUANCGGUGAAAUGCUUAGAUAUUACAUGGAAUACCAAUUGCGAAGGCAGGUUACUACCAGUUUAUUGACGCUGAUGGACGAAAGCGUGGGGAGCGAACAGGAUUANAUACCCUGGUAGUCCACGCCGUAAACGAUGGAUACUAGCUGUUGGGCGCAAGUUCAGUGGCUAAGCGAAAGUGAUAAGUAUCCCACCUGGGGAGUACGAACGCAAGUUUGAAACUCAAAGGAAUUGACGGGGGCCCG
rnacentral:rRNA from 1 species